UACGAAGGGGGCUAGCGUUGCUCGGAAUCACUGGGCGUAAAGCGCACGUAGGCGGAUUGCUAAGUCAGGGGUGAAAUCCUGGAGCUCAACUCCAGAACUGCCUUUGAUACUGGCGAUCUUGAGUUCGGGAGAGGUGAGUGGAACUCCGAGUGUAGAGGUGAAAUUCGUAGAUAUUCGGAAGAACACCAGUGGCGAAGGCGGCUCACUGGCCCGAUACUGACGCUGAGGUGCGAAAAGCGUGGGGAGCAACAGG
rnacentral:rRNA from 1 species